GAUACGGUAGUUUAGUUGGUAAAGCACUCAUCUAGCGUACUAGAGUCGUGGGUUCGAAUCCCACCUGAGUAU
rnacentral:tRNA from 1 species